rnacentral:rRNA from 1 species
GAUGAACGCUGGCGGCGUGCCUAAUACAUGCAAGUCGAACGCAUUGAGAGAAGUGCUUGCACUUUUCAAUUUGCGUGGCGAACGGGUGAGUAACACGUGGGCAACCUACCUGAUAGCGGGGGAUAACGAGUGGAAACAUUCGCUAAUACCGCAUAACAAUGUAGAAGGCAUCUUCUUUAUUUAAAAGGCGCUUUCAAGCGUCACUAUCAGAUUGGCCCGCGGUGCAUUAGUUAGUUGGUGGGGUGAAGGCCUACCAAGACGAUGAUGCAUAGCCGAGUUGAGAGACUGAUCGGCCACAUUGGGACUGAGACACGGCCCAAACUCCUACGGGAGGCUGCAGUAGGGAAUCUUCCACAAUGGACGAAAGUCUGAUGGAGCAACGCCGCGUGUGUGAUGAAGGCUUUCGGGUCGUAAAGCACUGUUGUAUGGGAAGAAAUGCUAGGCUAGGAAAUGAGCUUAGUUUGACGGUACCAUACCAGAAAGGGACGGCUAAAUACGUGCCAGCCGCCGCGGUAA